AAGAGAAGCUUUACUGGUGUUCCAGCCCUAAGAAACCUUUGUUCAAGAAAACGGCAGAUGCUCUGUUGAAUCCACUGGAGAUUGUUCUGAUACUAAGGACAAGUAUCAACCAUCUUUCCUGUGAAAAAUUCCCUCUCGUACUUUAGUUCUGUGGAUCCAAAAUUUAUAGCAUUCUUCUACCACCACAGGGGCUCAUAUGACAUUAACAGACAAGACACUUUUCAGAAAGACAG
rnacentral:lncRNA from 1 species